UGCAUUGGGGCUAUUUCGAAAAUGGGUAUAUUCCGAAAGUGCAAAAAAUCUACCAAACGCAGCAAUAUAUUCCUGCUGGCAACAUUAGGCAAAGCGCCAUCUUAGAUUUACUUGUCGCGACAGACGUUGCGAGUCGCUCGCGCUAACAUCACGCGAGUGUCGUCAAAUUAUUCAAGAGAAGUGAUUUCGCGCCGAAUUUUGGUGAUUCGUAAUAACCCCAAGAUAGUUUUCUCGAAAUCCUGUGUCAUCAUGCCUCGUACUUAUUUAAAAAAGAAAAAUAAAACAUACACUUCUCAAGAUUUAGCCACUGCCAUACAGAAAGUAAGAAAUGGGGAGCUUACCGCAUAUGCUAAGAAUAUCUACAUAAUUACGUACUUACUUAUAAAAAUAAAAGUUGAUCUCACUGAA